AGUUUGAUGGCGACCGGCGCACGGGUGAGUAACACGUAUCCAACCUGCCGAUGACUCGGGGAUAGCCUUUCGAAAGAAAGAUUAAUACCCGAUGGCAUAGUUCUUCCGCAUGGUGGAACUAUUAAAGAAUUUCGGUCAUCGAUGGGGACGCGUUCCAUUAGGUUGUUGGUGGGGUAACGGCCCACCAAGCCUUCGAUGGAUAGGGGUUCUGAGAGGAAGGUCCCCCACAUUGGAACUGAGACACGGUCCAAACUCCUACGGGAGGCAGCAUG
rnacentral:rRNA from 1 species